GAUGAACGCUGGCGGCGUGCCUAAUACAUGCAAGUCGAGCGAACGGACGAGAAGCUUGCUUCUCUGAUGUUAGCGGCGGACGGGUGAGUAACACGUGGAUAACCUACCUAUAAGACUGGGAUAACUUCGGGAAACCGGAGCUAAUACCGGAUAAUAUUUUGAACCGCAUGGUUCAAAAGUGAAAGACGGUCUUGCUGUCACUUAUAGAUGGAUCCGCGCUGCAUUAGCUAGUUGGUAAGGUAACGGCUUACCAAGGCAACGAUGCAUAGCCGACCUGAGAGGGUGACCGGCCACAGUGAAUACAAGACCCGCCCCAAACCACGAGGGGGGGCAGCGGGGGGGAAUCUGCCGAAGGGACGAAACCCGAACGGGGCACCCCGGGGUGGGUAUGAAAGGUGUAGGAUUGUAAAACCUGUUUUAUUGGGAAAGAACAUAGUGUAAGGCACUUGGGCACACUUUGAGGGACCCAAAUAGGAAGCCCAGGGCUAAACCGGGC
rnacentral:rRNA from 1 species